GCCGUCGUGGGUUCAGUUCAGACUCCAGAGUUCAGGGGAAGACGAAGCGGGAGCACGAGCCGAGCGAGGCGGCCAUGGCGGAGCUCGCCGCGGACUAGCACGUCCGCUACAUCGUUACCGGUCUCCUCCCCAAGCUCCACGCCGUCGACGCCGCCAAGGUCGUCGACUGGAUCAUGUCCUGCUACCACCCCGAAUCUGGUACUCCGCCCCGCUGAUUGGAUUGUGAAGAAAUAGGUAAUUGAUUUGUAUGCGUGCUCUCCUUGGGAUGUAUGUUGCUGACUGUAUCCUUUUCCAGAUCUUGAAUUGGGUCCACGCUGUUUGAGUAUGUUUUUAGAGUUGAGAUUACCAAUGCCUUGAGAAAAGUGAAUCCUGCAACCCUAGUUUGUUAAGCUGACUGAACUUGAAAUCCAGUUCCUUUUCAUUAGCUACAUCAUGUUAGCUGUCGCUGGACUGUAAGAUGAGGAUGGAUAAUUUUCUGGUGAUAUCUGGGAUUCUGGGGUGAAGUGGACAGACACUUGGUAAAAAAAAACCUUCAAAUGAUCGUUUUGAGUUCCCACUUUCGUGUUUCCAACUUAACAAUCCUUGGGAGCUAGUAAUGCAAACUAACUUUUCUAUUUCUGUAGGUUCUCGUAUAUUGCCCUAUGUACCUUUAUCACUACUACAUGCAUAAAAUUGAUAUGCAAAGGCUGUAGAUUUCGUUGUUAGCUGUAAGAACUUGGAUGGUGGGUUUGGAGCUAUGCCAGGAGGGGAGUCUCAUGCUGGGCAAAUAUUUUGUUGUAUGGGAGCUCUUGCAAUUACCAGGUCUCUGCAUCACAUUGAUAGAGAUCUUCUUGGAUGGUGGCUUUGUGAGCGCCAGUGUAAAGACAUCGAACUUAAUGGGCGACCUGAGAAAUUAGCUGAUGUUUGUUACUCCUGGUGGGUGUUAUCAAGUUUGAUAAUGAUUGAUAGAUUGCAUUGGAUUGACAAGGAAAAGCUUACAAAAUUCAUACUAAACUGAGCCAGGACAAAGAGAAUGGUGGCCUUUCAGAUAGACCAGAUAAUACAGUAGAUAUCUAUCACACAUACUUUGGAGUUGCAGUUGUUUAUUUUCUUUCCAUACUGUGGUAUUUCGAGCAUAUGCAAGGGUCUUGUAUAUGGCACGUGAAUGAGUUACAAUUGUAAACUCUGUGCGUAACCAGUUAGCCACUCUUGCAAGCAGGCUUCCAUUGAUAGAGUACCCUGGGGUGAAGCCUAUGGAUCCUGCUUAUGCGUUGCCAUUGGAUGUUGUCAAUCGGAUUUUCUUGAGAAAAUAGAACAUUACACGUAUGAGGUUUGCUCCACAGAU